rnacentral:lncRNA from 1 species
GCAAUCCUCCUGCCUCACCCUCCCAGGUAGCUAGGACUACAGGACCGCGACCCGGCGCUGCCUAAGAACUGUUUUUAAACGUGAAAGCCACGACUAUCAUUUGCUUUUUGCUCUGCUCUUCAUCUUCUGGAUAAACCUCGUAACACACUGCUUGUUUUGGGCUCAGUGGUAGUCUGCUGCCUACGCCCCGUCAGACAAGUGGCCUGAGUUCCCCGCAACCCCUGCAGGUCCGGCCGCCCGCGCCAAGCCUCAAGGCAUCCAAGCCAGGAACGAUCGCGGUCAGCUCUGCCACGGAACAUGUGCAAGACCCGGCAGCAGGUUCCGGGGGAGGCGAAUUGAUUUCACAACGGUCGAGAAGGAGGACCCCGCCCACUUCGUCAUUUCUCGGAAGCCCAGGGGACUCGCCGGAAGAGCGGCUCAAAAGCCGGAAAACCGGCAAUUCCGAGUCUCCCGGCGCAUGCGCGGCGCAAUCGGCUUCGCGUGGUUGCAGUAGAGAGGAUCCCUCCGCCAGCCACUGCAUCCGGCGGCCGGAUCUAACUUACUCGCUAGCGUUUUACCCUUGCGCGGCCGUGGCGUAGGCGGUCUUUUCCCUUGGUCCCCCGCGGCGCCGCCUCUUGUGACGUAAGCCGCAAAAUCCUCUGUCUUAGUUCGGCUCUAUUGCCGCGGAGCUUGACUCUUCCUGGGUCUGAGGAAAAGUAAAAGUAAUUUUGUCAUUUCGUGAAACUUCAAGUUAAACCUUUAAGCUGUUCAUUUUUUAAAAGGGUGAAAACGCGGGCACCCCUCGAGCUAGUUCAUCGCCUUUUAACCUGUGAGUUCUGUUAAAAGGAAGUAACUGCAAAAUGUGUUCGCUGUUAGGUUUCUUUGGAAGUUUUGGGUUGUGUUCA